UGGUGGAGUGAUUUGUCUGCUUAAUUGCGUUAACGAACGAGACCUUAACCUGCUAAAUAGAGACGCGAAUCCUCUCGCUUAAAGGCCGACGCGACGCGGACCCGCCCUCGGGCGACCGCCGAGACCGACGCCUGGUUGGAUUCGUGGCGCUCUUCUUAGAGGGACUAUUGGUUUCUAGCCAAUGGAAGUUUGAGGCAAUAACA
rnacentral:rRNA from 1 species